GAUGAACGCUGGCGGCGUGCCUAAUACAUGCAAGUCGAGCGAACGGACGAGAAGCUUGCUUCUCUGAUGUUAGCGGCGGACGGGUGAGUAACACGUGGAUAACCUACCUAUAAGACUGGGAUAACUUCGGGAAACCGUAGCUAAUACCGGAUAAUAUUUUGAACCGCAUGGUUCAAAAGUGAAAGACGGUCUUGCUGUCACUUAUAGAUGGAUCCGCGCUGCAUUAGCUAGUUGGUAAGGUAACGGCUUACCAAGGCAACGAUGCAUAGCCGACCUGAGAGGGUGAUCGGCCACACUGGAACUGAGACACGGUCCAGACUCCUACGGGAGGCAGCAGUAGGGAAUCUUCCGCAGUGGGCGAAAGCCUGACGGAGCAACGCAGCGUGAGUGAUGAAGGUCUUCGGAUCGUAAAACUCUGUUAUUAGGGAAGAACAUAUGUGUAAGUAACUGUGCACAUCUUGACGGUACCUAAUCAGAGAGCCACGGCUAACUACGU
rnacentral:rRNA from 1 species